rnacentral:snRNA from 1 species
GGCUGGGAAGGGAUCUGAAGGGUAAACAAAGGAGGAGGAUGCAAUGCUUGGUAAGAAAUGUAUGCAUUAUCCUGCCCAUGCAAUUGUAACCCCUCUGUAAAGUAUGUUCACAAAUAAAUCAAAAUUAAAUUAAAAAAAUGAAGUACCUACAGCAAACAAAAAAAAAAAAAAAGAAGAGGAUGACCAUCCCCGAUAGAGGAGGACCGGUCUUCUGUCAAUGGUAUACAAGUGGCUGCGCUCCCCUGCUAGAACCUCCAAACAAGCUCUCAAAAAUGAGGGAAAGUAUAGAGUCUAUGUUUCUUUGGGUCUGGCUUAUUUCACUUUAUAUGAUUUUUUCCAAGUCUAUUUCCUUACAAAUGUG